rnacentral:rRNA from 1 species
UACGAAGGGGGCUAGCGUUGCUCGGAAUCACUGGGCGUAAAGGGUGCGUAGGCGGGUCUUUAAGUCAGGGGUGAAAUCCUGGAGCUCAACUCCAGAACUGCCUUUGAUACUGAAGAUCUUGAGUUCGGGAGAGGUGAGUGGAACUGCGAGUGUAGAGGUGAAAUUCGUAGAUAUUCGCAAGAACACCAGUGGCGAAAGCGGCUACCUGGCCCAUUCUUGACGCUGAGGCGCGAAAGCGAGGGGAGCAAACGGG